AAAGCUCAAACACUAGUGCUCGUACAUUUGUUUUUGUAGCUGCAUGAAGAAUUAGACAAAAGUGAAUAUUGCAGUAGACACUGCCUGUUUUCAUUCAGUUUUAUGGGCCCACAGAGAGAAAGAGAGUUUUAACAUACGGAGCAUAACCUUUUGGAUUGCUUUAAAAAAUAAGAAAUAUAGAGGUGAAUAAAGGAACGCAUAUUCAGAUGCAGUCACAAUUAAAUGAAACAAUGUAAUGAAUGGUUUUGGGGAUUUUUUUGGCAGAUUCAAUCAUCAUAUUUCUCGUGUAGGGAUGCCACUUCUCAAGUGCUAUUUCCUUUCGGAAGAAAAGAUUGAAGCCCAACUUAAUUGCUCUGCAAAGAUGACAGAGGGGGUUUGGACCAAUUAUUUCCAGUGUAUGUCGUGGGAAAGUAUACAUAGUUUCUUUGAAAUCAGAUGAACACUGCAGCCAUUGAGUAGUGUCCAAAUGCUCCCAAUACUAUGCAUGACAC